CAGCAGCCGCCGCGGUAAUGCGUAGGUGGCAAGCGUUGUCCGGAAUUAUUGGGCGUAAAGGGCUCGCAGGCGGUUUCUUAAGUCUGAUGUGAAAGCCCCCGGCUCAACCGGGGAGGGUCAUCGGAAACUGGGAAACUUGAGUGCGGAAGAGGAGAGUGGAAUUCCACGUGUAGCGGUGAAAUGCGUAGAGAUGUGGAGGAACACCAGUGGCGAAGGCGACUCUCUGGUCUGUAACUGACGCUGAGGAGCGAAAGCGUGGGGAGCGAACAGGAUUAGAUACCCCUGUAGUCCCUGUCUCUUAUAC
rnacentral:rRNA from 1 species